AAAAUAGCAUGCUAGCAAAGCAGGUGAUGAUCUACCUUCAUUAUUCAAAGUCAUUUUAAUUUUAUCCAAUUUCUUUCCAAUGUAUCAUGAAAGAUCUAUGUAUACAUAUAUGUAGAUCACUUUCAGGUAUCUGUAUAUAAAGAUAUAAUAUAUAUGCAAUGUAACUCCACAGUGCUUAGAAUCCUACAUUGGAAGGGUAGGAAGAAAUUAACCCAAUCUUGAAUUUUUAGUUACAUCCAUUUUGUAAAUUAUAUAUAGUGUUAUAAGGAUUAGCAAAUGGCUCUCCACUGAUAACCAAUAGUUUUUGUUAGCCGAUACUGAUAGCGCUGAUGGUAACUAAUUUAUAUUAAGUAUUGGAUGAGCCUAUGAUAAU
rnacentral:misc_RNA from 1 species